UACGGAGGAUCCAAGCGUUAUCCGGAAUCAUUGGGUUUAAAGGGUCCGUAGGCGGUUUUAUAAGUCAGUGGUGAAAUCCGGCAGCUUAACUGUCGAACUGCCAUUGAUACUGUAGAACUUGAAUUAUUGUGAAGUAACUAGAAUAUGUAGUGUAGCGGUGAAAUGCUUAGAUAUUACAUGGAAUACCAAUUGCGAAGGCAGGUUACUAACAAUACAUUGACGCUGAUGGACGAAAGCGUGGGGAGCGAACAGG
rnacentral:rRNA from 1 species